rnacentral:lncRNA from 1 species
GAAAUACUUCUUUCAUUUCUUGCAUGAUGGUGUCAAGACAACACUGUCCUAAUUGCACCUAUACUGUUCACUGCAGUAUGUUGGAGCACACAAUGCCAUGGAGAACCACAGUGUCUUGGAUCAACUUUUGUUAUGGAAAUAUUUCCAAACUGUUGUCAUUUCUGUAUUGGUCACAACACUGGCCAGGAAACAGGGGAAGAAGAACCAACUUUUUAUAAAGUUUUUGCCAACUCCACUCCAGGGCAAUGGCUAUUCUUCCCAUUUCAGGAAGAACACCCUUUUCCAGAUGACUCCUAAUAUUCUUCUUUCUUCAACUCAGGAGAUGCCCUGA